rnacentral:rRNA from 1 species
UAGCAGUAGGGAAUCUUCCACAAUGGACGAAAGUCUGACGGAGCAACGCCGCGUGAGUGAUGAAGGCUUUCGGGUCGUAAAACUCUGUUGUUAGGGAAGAACAAGUGCUAGUUGAAUAAGCUGGCACCUUGACGGUACCUAACCAGAAAGCCACGGCUAACUACGUGCCAGCAGCCGCGGUAAUACGUAGGUGGCAAGCGUUAUCCGGAAUUAUUGGGCGUAAAGCACGCGCAGGUGGUUUCUUAAGUCUGAUGUGAAAGCCCACGGCUCAACCGUGGAGGGUCAUUGGAAACUGGGAGACCUGAGUGCAGAAGAGGAAAGUGGAAUUCCAUGUGUAGCGGUGGAAUAA